rnacentral:rRNA from 1 species
GACGAACGCUGGCGGCGUGCUUAACACAUGCAAGUCGAACGGAAAGGCCCUGCUUUUGUGGGGUGCUCGAGUGGCGAACGGGUGAGUAACACGUGAGUAACCUGCCCUUGACUUUGGGAUAACUUCAGGAAACUGGGGCUCAUACCGGAUAGGAGCUCCUGCUGCAUGGUGGGGGUUGGAAAGUUUCGGCGGUUGGGGCUGGACUCGCGGCUUAUCCGCUUGUUGGUGGGGUAGUGGCUUACCAAGGCUUUGAAGGGUAGCCGGCCUGGGAGGGUGACCGGCCACAUUGGGACUGAGAUACGGCCCAGACGCCUACGGGAGGCAGCAGGGGGGAAUAUUGCACAAUGGGCGGAAGCCUGAUGAAGAAACGCCGCGUGCGGGAUGACGGCCUUCGGGUUGUAAACCGCUUUCGCCGGUGACGAAGCGUGAUUGACGGUAAUGGGUAAAGAAGCACCGGCUAACUACGUG